AGCAGAACUCUCCCUCAACUGCUGAGUCAUUUUUUCAACUGUAAUUUUAUUUAUUUUUAAAUUUAUAUUGGAUAUGCUUUGAGCAAAGUGUACUUUUAGCACCAACGAAAUCCAAAUAGGAAAAGGAGAGAUGAGGGUUGAGAAUCAAGAAUUAGCCCCAUUGCCAUCUCCGCCACACUACCUUACAUCGUCAUAACUACCAAAACCUCUUUCCUCUGUCUGUGCCUCCAGUAGGCAACAGCGAUUCCUAAGCACGUUUUCUAUACCGUCCUUAUUCAAAACUUGCAUGUGGCGUAAAAUGGUUGGUGGCACC
rnacentral:lncRNA from 1 species